AUACCUUCUAUUAUUACUGUUUUUGCUGCAGAAGCAUCUUUGACGCUACUGGAUAGCUCACAUGCUCAAUUCACUGCCAUUAGCAAUUUUUUAACGCAUUCCACCUCGGCCAGUCUACAGAGCAUUCUUUUAUUUCCAACCUUGUUGUAGAGUAAUUUAGUUCAUUUUAAAGCUGAACGUUUGUGGAUGCUUCAGUUACUAUCUGCUGGAUCAAACCUAGCUGAUGAUGCCAAAAUAUACAAGAGAGGAAGAGUCUUAUAGGUUGCUCUUGCGUUCUGUUCUUCACCUGUUUCAGAUUCUGAAUCGAAGGUUUUAGUCCUUAAGAUGUUGAAGAGGUGUGUCAAGCAGUUCUAGCUCAUCAUCUAGCGAAAGAGUCUGGCCUUCUGUUGUGGUUAUCCUCUGUUAUUUCAAUUGAAGGAUCCGAUGGUGCUGAAAGCUCCUGUUCUAGAGUAACUGAGUUAACGUUGGAGGUAGUCAAUGAUUUGAUAUCAUCAAGACUAAUUACAGAUUGGCUCCAAGAAUCUGCCCUUGAGCAACUCUCUGGUGAUAUCAGCAGACCUUUGUGUCCUUCUAAUUAACAAUGCUAAAUUAUUGAAAGGAAAUGUUCCCUUAUUGACUUCAGUGUUUAGUGUGAUUACAUCAACAAUGAGGUUGUUUAUGAAAAGGAAGAUAUACUAACUGCAUUUUAUCUUGUCCCUCCAUGGUGUAUUUAAUCUGUCCCAAGCUACCGUUGGCAGCUCAAGAAGUGCAGAGCAUAAGUUUACAAUGGAACUUGGUAUCGAUGCCAUUCUUAUGAAUGGUCCUAUGCCAAUUUUAUCUGAAAUGGAUAAGUCAAGAAUAUAAUGGUUGUUUCUUGGGCAACUUCAAACAUCUUCUGGUUGUACUCUAACCAAAGGUCUAUGUUGGAAAUAUCCUCAAAAGAGUCAAAGCUUUUGCGCUUAUUAGUGGCUUCUGUAAUACUUGGGAGGAUAUCCAGCAUCUCUCAUGGAAAGAGUGGAGAUCUUGCACGGAGCACCAGCAGUCUUGGAACUCUUCAUUCUUUCUUGAACGAUGCGUAUGAAAGGGUUGAAACGGUAGAAAGUUGCAGUGCGAAUGAUACGCUACCUGUCAUUAUAUUAUACCUUCAAGACCAUGUGCAAAAGAACAGUGAUUCUUUGCCAUCAGUUGUGAUGGCUCUUUGCUUGUUGCUUCUUGACAGAUCCAGUAAGCAAGUGAACAAGCACCUGGCCGACAACCAUGGAAAGAUUGAAAUGCUUUGCUCAAAGAUACGGUGUCCUGCUGAAUCUAAUCCUUCAUGGAGAUGGCAUUACUAUCAACCCUGGAAGGAUCCUGCUGCGCCGCGAGAUGGAGCGCUUGGAAGAGGAGCAGGCGUGCCGAAGCCUCCUGAUCCUAUUUUCUAAUGCCUUCAGUGCCUCCCUGCCGGAAUUUUCGGUACUGUCACUAGAUGAUGUUGAAAAAUCUAGCCUGUUCCAGUGGGAAAGGGAGUCCAUGGUUAAGCAGAAACAUUGCGAUUAGUUUGCUGAGGCAGUAAUUUGACAAGUCAUAGAACUGUUGGUGUGUAAAGGAAUGCUUGUUCCUCAGUUGGAUCAAGUAGAGCUCCGUGCACAGUUGGAUCCACAGAUGCCUCAAUUAAAAAAAAA